UGGCCAUCUAUGCCUGUUUACUGUCCCUUAGCCAAACAGGUCACCUGAGGCAUGAAUAAUACUAGUUCACGGAUUCAUGUUUUAUCAAUGUGGCUUUCGAAUAGUUACCAGGGUUAGACAGAAAAGCUGUUUGCCUCCUUCAAUCAAAAUUGCCUUCUGAUGGCACAGCAGAAUUUAGGACUGCUCAAUAAAAUCCCAUCAAAACCCAGACCGUACCAGGCCCUCUGUAUGCCCCCGCCAGGCUUGACACCUGUACUCUGACUAACAACUGCUUGAUCUAUGGAGUUUCAGGUACAUGAAGAAUAAAGGGGAAGUAACAUUACUACAACCAUUUCAAGAUGUAAAGACGUCCAUCUGAGAGCUUCACUCU